UAGCCUAGAGCGGCGCACGGGUGCGUAACGCGUAUGCAACCUACCUUUUACUGGGGGAUAGCCCGGAGAAAUCUGGAUUAAUACCCCAUGGUACCUUAAUAUCGAUUGGUGUAAAGGUUAAAGAUUUAUCGGUAAGAGAUGGGCAUGCGUCUGAUUAGCUAGUUGGCGGGGUAACGGCCCACCAAGGCGACGAUCAGUAGGGGUUCUGAGAGGAAGGUCCCCCACACUGGCACUGAGAUACGGGCCAGACUCCUACGGGAGGCAGCAGUAGGGAAUAUUGGGCAAUGGUCGCAAGACUGACCCAGCCAUGCCGCGUGCAGGAAGACGGCCCUCUGGGUUGUAAACUGCUUUUAUCUGGGAAGAAAAAGUCCAUGCGUGGAAAAUUGCCGGUACCAGAUGAAUAAGCACCGGCUAACUCCGUGCCAGCAGCCGCGGUAAUACGGAGGGUGCAAGCGUUGUCCGGAUUUAUUGGGUUUAAAGGGUGCGUAGGCGGCUGAAUAAGUCAGCGGUGAAAGACUUCGGCUUAACCGGAGCAGUGCCGUUGAUACUGUUUAGCUUGAGUGUUGGAGGGGUACAUGGAAUUGAUGGUGUAGCGGUGAAAUGCAUAGAUACCAUCAGGAACACCGAUAGCGAAGGCAUUGUACUGGCCAACAACUGACGCUGAGGCACG
rnacentral:rRNA from 1 species